rnacentral:lncRNA from 1 species
CAACAGCAGAAAUGAUACUUGCAAAGAGUGAAGAUGUACAGAGAAACUGUGCAGGAAUCACAUGAUUACUGGAGAAAAACAAGUCCACACUAGUCCAUUAAAAACAGAAAGCUUCUUUUAUGGGAAAAUGCAUACUAGAAAUAGGAAAAAAAAAAAAAAAAAAAGGAUUAAUAUAAUAAACUUGAGAACAGGGGAUCACAACUUAGAAAUGAUUAUAACAAAAGCUCACCAAUAAAUAUUACCUAGAUUAAAAAGAAAAUCUACUGAUCUGCCUCCACUCUUCAAAAACUAUAUUUUCACUCAUGAGAAAAAGCAUUUAAUUUCCUGUAAAAUUAUUUCCUACAUGUGAAUCUCUGGCUGUUAGGUAGACACCUAACAAAC